rnacentral:lncRNA from 1 species
CAGGGUGGGGAUAGGAAUCCAUCCAGGGCUUUCAUCAUAGAAGGUGGGUGGGGUCUGCCCAGGUGCUGACCACACUGCGGGGGGCCCACCCUUUCUUUCCCAGCAGCUCUCUGGGUCCCGGCAAGGAAAGGAGGGCUUGCUUCAGUGGGUGGUUGAGGAGGAUUGAACAAAGCAGGUUUAUUAUAUUAAAAAAAAAAAGGUGGGAGGGACUAAGGGAUGCCAGCACAGGAAGAAGAAGCAUCCAGGAGCUGUUCCCACCCCAGGCCAGAUGUGGAGGGAGCUGUAGCCGUCACUCUGUGCUCAGCUCGAGCUGCCGUGGUCAGAGCAGGACCACCGGAAAGGAGUGCUGGCUUCCUGGAAAGGAGCACCUCCACGGCUGCCUCGGCCAGGGAGGGAACUGGACACUAGCCUCAUGUUUCUCCAACCUCCAGCUGCCCCUCCCAGCUUCUGCUGUGACUGAAUCCACCUGGAGGCCAGAGGAUAGGGAAGCCCAUGGAUGCCGGCCAUAGAGGCCAGGGCCUUGGGGCACAGAGCCAGCGGAGGAUCUCGUAAGGAGGCCACUUGCAUUCAGAAUCUGUCAAAGGACCAUUUUCAAAGCAGAGCUUAAAGCGGCAUCACUAGCACGUCUCACACAACACAGAAGUCCUGGGGUCGAGGCCUGGGCGCAGUCUCUGCUCUCCGUGAAUUCAGUCAACGAGGCUUUGCCUGUCCUUGCCGGUGCCCUGGGGAGAUGCAGCGGAACGGGCUGCCUCUCCUCGUUCUGUGGGAGCUCACAACCGUGUUUGGCACACGCAGGUCAGCCAGGGUGAAGGGUGAAGUGUGAGCAGGAGGAGGAACAAGCCGAGGGCUGCAAGAGGAAGAAGAGGGCGGUCACUGAAAGGGCCACGGAGCUGUGCCCCAAGGUCCUGUUGGUUCUGAGUUCAGGCACUGCUGGCAGCCAGGAGGGCUCACAGCCCUGGGGCACAGGGGCGAGGUAGUGAUGCAACUGCCUGGCAGGUGCCUUGGGUGGAGACGAGUGCCCCCAUCUCAGUCAUCAUGACUUCUUUAUUCAUGAGCUCCAAAUAUUAUUUUCCUGGCCAACCACAACUCCUGGUCAGGCUGGGGGUGGUCAACUUUCUUUUGCCUCAUUUAAACGCACAGUGCUGCUCCUCAAGUCAACAACCUCUCUUCAGACUCUGCAUUUUAUUGAUCAUGGUACUGCGCAAGACUUUUCAGGAGAGUUUGGUCAUCUCCCAUGAUGCCAACUCCAGAAGAUUAGGAGUGGGCCCCUGUGCGAACAGGAGGUUGUUCUGGGGUCCAUGAGAGGCGGCGGUCACACUUCCUAACACGUUCAGCUGACGCUGGUGCAAAUAGGACAAAGGAGGGGCUCUCACCCCAAACAUUCCAGUCAGGGGGACGGAACUUGGUAAAUGUUCGGGGAGCCAUGGGGGUCAUCCUGUGCCCUCCUCCUGGUCUGUUCACCAAGCUCAAGAGGGAAGACAAGUGAUCAGAAAUCCGCAGAUAGUGAGCAACAGCGGGAAAGGACUCACCAGGAAGGAGGCAGCCAAGAAAGAGCAGGUCCUUCUCUGCUGCCCAGGCUGGAGUGCAGUGGUGCAA